GGGGAAUAUUGGACAAUGGGGGCAACCCUGAUCCAGCAAUGCCGCGUGUGUGAAGAAGGUCUUCGGAUUGUAAAGCACUUUCGACGGGGACGAUGAUGACGGUACCCGUAGAAGAAGCCCCGGCUAACUUCGUGCCAGCAGCCGCGGUAAUACGAAGGGGGCUAGCGUUGCUCGGAAUGACUGGGCGUAAAGGGCGUGUAGGCGGUUUACACAGUCAGAUGUGAAAUCCCCGGGCUUAACCUGGGAGCUGCAUUUGAUACGUGUAGACUAGAGUGUGAGAGAGGGUUUGUGGAAUUCCCAGUGUAGAGGUGAAAUUCGU
rnacentral:rRNA from 1 species